UGGGGAAUAUUGGACAAUGGGCGAAAGCCUGAUCCAGCCAUGCCGCGUGUGUGAAGAAGGUCUUCGGAUUGUAAAGCACUUUAAGUUGGGAGGAAGGGCAGUAAGCGAAUACCUUGCUGUUUUGACGUUACCGACAGAAUAAGCACCGGCUAACUCUGUGCCAGCAGCCGCGGUAAUACAGAGGGUGCAAGCGUUAAUCGGAAUUACUGGGCGUAAAGCGCGCGUAGGUGGUUCGUUAAGUUGAAUGUGAAAGCCCCGGGCUCAACCUGGGAACUGCAUACAAAACUGGCGAGCUAGAGUAGGGCAGAGAGUGGUGGAAUUUCCUGUGUAGCGGUGAAAUGCGUAGAUAUAGGAAGGAACACCAGUGGCGAAGGCGACCACCUGGGCUCAUACUGACACUGAGGUGCGAAAGCGUGGGGAGCAAACAGG
rnacentral:rRNA from 1 species